rnacentral:rRNA from 1 species
GUGGGGAAUAUUGCACAAUGGGCGAAAGCCUGAUGCAGCAACGCCGCGUGAGGGACGACGGCCUUCGGGUUGUAAACCUCUUUUAGCAGGGAAGAAGCGAAAGUGACGGUACCUGCAGAAAAAGCACCGGCUAACUACGUGCCAGCAGCCGCGGUAAUACGUAGGGUGCAAGCGUUAUCCGGAAUUAUUGGGCGUAAAGAGCUCGUAGGCGGUCUGUCGCGUCUGCUGUGAAAACUGGAGGCUCAACCUCCAGCCUGCAGUGGGUACGGGCAGACUAGAGUGCGGUAGGGGAGAUUGGAAUUCCUGGUGUAGCGGUGGAAUGCGCAGAUAUCAGGAGGAACACCGAUGGCGAAGGCAGAUCUCUGGGCCGUAACUGACGCUGAGGAGCGAAAGCGUGGGGAGCGAACAGGAUUAGAAACCCGUGUAGUCC